AUUGAACGCUGGCGGCAGGCCUAACACAUGCAAGUCGAGCGGACGAAGGCAGCUUGCUCCUGGAUUCAGCGGCGGACGGGUGGGUAAUGCCUAGGAAUCUGCCUGGUAGUGGGGGAUAACGUCCGGAAACGGGCGCUAAUACCGCAUACGUCCUGAGGGAGAAAGUGGGGGAUCUUCGGACCUCACGCUAUCAGAUGAGCCUAGGUCGGAUUAGCUAGUUGGUGGGGUAAAGGCCUACCAAGGCGACGAUCCGUAACUGGUCUGAGAGGAUGAUCAGUCACACUGGAACUGAGACACGGUCCAGACUCCUACGGGAGGCAGCAGUGGGGAAUAUUGGACAAUGGGCGAAAGCCUGAUCCAGCCAUGCCGCGUGUGUGAAGAAGGUCUUCGGAUUGUAAAGCACUUUAAGUUGGGAGGAAGGGCAGUAAGUUAAUACCUUGCUGUUUUGACGUUACCAACAGAAUAAGCACCGGCUAACUUCGUG
rnacentral:rRNA from 1 species